GGAAAAUGGUGCACAUAAGCUCCCUUGUUCCUGAAGGGGUCUCCUAUGAUGUCUGCCUCUCCAGCUCAUGCUCUGAGAUGAGAAGGAUCUCGGUUCAUCUUUGGGACAUAGUCAAGAGAUUUGGUAAGUGAUAGAAAAAUCUUAAUUACUUAAGGA
rnacentral:lncRNA from 1 species